rnacentral:rRNA from 1 species
UUCUUUGGAGAGUUUGAUCCUGGCUCAGGACGAACGCUGGCGGCGUGCCUAAUACAUGCAAGUCGAGCGGACCGAACGAGGGCUUGCUCUUGUUCGGUCAGCGGCGGACGGGUGAGUAACACGUGGGCAACCUGCCCGCAAGACCGGGAUAACUUCGGGAAACCGGAGCUAAUACCGGAUAACACCGAAGACCGCAUGGUCUUCGGUUGAAAGGCGGCCUUUGGGCUGUCACUUGCGGAUGGGCCCGCGGCGCAUUAGCUAGUUGGUGAGGUAACGGCUCACCAAGGCGACGAUGCGUAGCCGGCCUGAGAGGGUGACCGGCCACACUGGGACUGAGACACGGCCCAGACUCCUACGGGAGGCAGCAGUAGGGAAUCUUCCGCAAUGGGCGAAAGCCUGACGGAGCGACGCCGCGUGAGCGAAGAAGGCCUUCGGGUCGUAAAGCUCUGUUGUGAGGGACGAAGGAGCGCCGUUCGAAGAGGGCGGCGCGGUGACGGUACCUCACGAGAAAGCCCCGGCUAACUACGUGCCAGCAGCCGCGGUAAUACGUAGGGGGCGAGCGUUGUCCGGAAUUAUUGGGCGUAAAGCGCGCGCAGGCGGUCUCUUAAGUCUGAUGUGAAAGCCCACGGCUCAACCGUGGAGGGUCAUUGGAAACUGGGGGACUUGAGGGCAGGAGAGGAGAGCGGAAUUCCACGUGUAGCGGUGAAAUGCGUAGAGAUGUGGAGGAACACCAGUGGCGAAGGCGGCUCUCUGGCCUGCAC